rnacentral:rRNA from 1 species
AUUGAACGCUGGCGGCAGGCCUAACACAUGCAAGUCGAGCGGAUGAAGGGAGCUUGCUCCUGGAUUCAGCGGCGGACGGGUGAGUAAUGCCUAGGAAUCUGCCUGGUAGUGGGGGAUAACGUCCGGAAACGGGCGCUAAUACCGCAUACGUCCUGAGGGAGAAAGUGGGGGAUCUUCGGACCUCACGCUCUCAGAUGAGCCUAGGUCGGAUUAGCUAGUUGGUGGGGUAAAGGCCUACCAAGGCGACGUUCCGUAACUGGCGUGAGAGGAUGAUCAGUCACACUGGAACUGAGACACGGUCCAGACUCCUACGGGAGGCAGCAGUGGGGAAUAUUGGACAAUGGGCGAAAGCCUGAUCCAGCCAUGCCGCGUGUGUGAAGAAGGUCUUCGGAUUGUAAAGCACUUUAAGUUGGGAGGAAGGGCAGUAAGUUAAUACCUUGCUGUUUUGACGUUACCAACAGAAUAAGCACCGGCUAACUUCGUG